GGGGAAUAUUGCACAAUGGGCGAAAGCCUGAUGCAGCAACGCCGCGUGAGUGAUGAAGGCCUUCGGGUUGUAAACCUCUGUCUUUUGGGACGAAGCAAGUGACGGUACCAAAAGAGGAAGCCACGGCUAACUACGUGCCAGCAGCCGCGGUAAUACGUAGGUGGCAAGCGUUGUCCGGAUUUACUGGGCGUAAAGGAUGCGUAGGCGGAUAUUUAAGUGAGAUGUGAAAAUCCCGGGCUUAACUUGGGAACUGCAUUUCAAACUGGGUAUCUAGAGUGCAGGAGAGGAAAGCGGAAUUCCUAGUGUAGCGGUGAAAUGCGUAGAGAUUAGGAAGAACACCAGUGGCGAAGGCGGCUUUCUGGACUGUAACUGACGCUGAGGCAUGAAAGCGUGGGGAGCAAAC
rnacentral:rRNA from 1 species